UUUAUGGAGAGUUUGAUCCUGGCUCAGGAUGAACGCUGGCGGCGUGCCUAAUACAUGCAAGUCGAGCGAACAGACAAGGAGCUUGCUCCUUUGACGUUAGCGGCGGACGGGUGAGUAACACGUGGGUAACCUACCUAUAAGACUGGGAUAACUUCGGGAAACCGGAGCUAAUACCGGAUAAUAUUUCGAACCGCAUGGUUCGAUAGUGAAAGAUGGUUUUGCUAUCACUUAUAGAUGGACCCGCGCCGUAUUAGCUAGUUGGUAAGGUAACGGCUUACCAAGGCGACGAUACGUAGCCGACCUGAGAGGGUGAUCGGCCACACUGGAACUGAGACACGG
rnacentral:rRNA from 1 species